rnacentral:rRNA from 1 species
GGCACAGGUGCUGCAUGGCUGUCGUCAGCUCGUGUCGUGAGAUGUUCGGUUAAGUCCGCUAACGAGCGCAACCCUCGCUGUGUGUUACAAGUGUCACACGGGUACUGCCGGUCUUAAGCCGGAGGAAGGUGGGGAUGACGUCAAGUCAGCAUGGCCUUUAUGUCCUGGGCUACACACACGCUACAAUGGCCAACACAAUAGGUUGCUAAGCCGCGAGGUGGAGGCCAAUCCUCAAAGUUGGUCUCAGUUCAGAUUGCAGGCUGCAACCCGCCUGCAUGAAGAUGGAGUUGCUAGUAACCGCAGGUCAGCUAUACUGCGGUGAAUACGUUCCCGGGGCUU